rnacentral:rRNA from 2 species
UCCUACGGGAGGCAGCAGUAGGGAAUCUUCCACAAUGGACGAAAGUCUGAUGGAGCAAUGCCGCGUGAGUGAAGAAGGUUUUCGGAUCGUAAAACUCUGUUGUUGAAGAAGAACAUAUGUGAGAGUAACUGUUCACGUACUGACGGUAUUCAACCAGAAAGCCACGGCUAACUACGUGCCAGCAGCCGCGGUAAUA